rnacentral:rRNA from 1 species
AACGCGAAGAACCUUACCUACCCUUGACAUGCCAGGAAUUUUGCAGAGAUGCGAAGGUGCCGAAAGGAACCUGGACACAGGUGCUGCAUGGCUGUCGUCAGCUCGUGUUGUGAGAUGUUGGGUUAAGUCCCGUAACGAGCGCAACCCUUAUCCUUAGUUACCAUCAUUAAGUUGGGGACUCUAAGGAGACCGCCGGUGACAAACCGGAGGAAGGUGGGGAUGACGUCAAGUCAUCAUGGCCUUUAUGGCCAGGGCUACACACGUGCUACAAUGGCAGAUACAGAGGGACGCCAACGCGCGAGCGGGAGCCAAUCCCAGAAAGUCUGUCGUAGUCCGGAUCGGAGUCUGCAACUCGACUCUGUGAAGUUGGAAUCGCUAGUAAUCGCAGAUCAGCAUUGCUGCGGUGAAUACGUUCCGGGCCUUGUACACACCGCUCGUC